rnacentral:rRNA from 1 species
UACGUAGGCAACGAGCGUUGUUCGGAGUUACUGGGCGUAAAGGGUGUGUAGGCGGUUGUUUAAGUUUGGUGUGAAAUCUCCCGGCUCAACUGGGAGGGUGCGCCGAAUACUGAAUGACUAGAGUGCGGGAGAGGAAAGUGGAAUUCCUGGUGUAGCGGUGAAAUGCGUAGAUAUCAGGAGGAACACCGGUGGUGUAGACGGCUUUCUGGACCGUAACUGACGCUGAGACACGAAAGCGUGGGUAGCAAACAGG